rnacentral:rRNA from 1 species
GGCCAGACUCCUACGGGAGGCAGCAGUGGGGAAUAUUGCACAAUGGGGGAAACCCUGAUGCAGCGACGCCGCGUGAGCGAAGAAGUAUUUCGGUAUGUAAAGCUCUAUCAGCAGGGAAGAAAAUGACGGUACCUGAGUAAGAAGCUCCGGCUAAAUACGUGCCAGCAGCCGCGGUAAUACGUAGGGGGCAAGCGUUAUCCGGAUUUACUGGGUGUAAAGGGGGCGCAGACGGCGAUGCAAGCCAGGAGUGAAAGCCCGGGGCCCAACCCCGGGACUGCCCUUGGAACUGCGUGGCUGGAGUGCAGGAGGGGCAGGCGGAAUUCCUGGUGUAGCGGUGAAAUGCGUAGAUAUCAGGAGGAACACCGGUGGCGAAGGCGGCCUGCUGGACUGCAACUGACGUUGAGGCCCGAAAGCGUGGGGAGCAAACAGGAUUAGAUACCCUAGUA